GUUUCGCGAGGUCUUGCGUCCAUUUUUUAUAUUUAAAACAUCCCACUCUUUAAAAAUAUUUAUCUAAUGAUAAAAAUAAAAAAGAUCACUUUCAACAACGGAUCUCUUGGCUCUCGCAUCGAUGAAGAACGUAGCGAAGUGCGAUAUGUAAUGUGAAUUGCAGAAUUCCGUGAAUCAUCGAAUUUUGAACGCAAAUUGCACUCUCCUCGGAGAGUAUGCCUGUUUGAGGGUCAGCCUAAAAAAAAUCGACAUCGUUGCUGUUUCGCGGUAACGUUCGUCGGAAAUUGGGUCAUCUUAAACCUUUUGGUUUAAGCGACUUAAAAUUUUCUUUUUGAUUCCAUAAACGUUUCUAAGAUUUAUUUCUUUACACGUUUAAGGUAUUAAUUUAUUAGACGUGGCCGUCAUAUCGGAUCACGUCCAUAAUCUU
rnacentral:rRNA from 1 species